rnacentral:rRNA from 1 species
UACGUAGGCAGCAAGCGUUGUUCGGAAUUACUGGGCGUAAAGAGUGUGUAGGCGGUGCUCCAAGUCUGGUGUGAAAUCUCCCGGCUUAACUGGGAGGGUGCAUUAGAAACUGGAAUGCUAGAGGAUGGGAGAGGUAGGCGGAAUUCCUGGUGUAGCGGUGAAAUGCGUAGAUAUCAGGAGGAACACCUGUGGUGUAGACAGCUUACUGGACCAUUUCUGACGCUGAGACACGAAAGCGUGGGGAGCGAACAGG